GCAGGGCCGAGGGAGAGACCCAGCUCCAAAUAUUACUGGAGCAGGGCCCCCGGCCCUGAAUAUUCCUGGAGCCCGGGCACCGCAGGUGUAUAUAACCUGCCGCCUAUGCAUGGAGGGGUUGGGGUCCUUCCUCAUAGUGGGUGAGCUAAGGUCUGGGAACAGAGGGGGCAUUUCCCAUAGAGGGUGAGUUGAAGUCUAUGGCAGAGGUAGGAGACAUCUCUUGCAGCUGGGAGAACGUCAUAUCGAGCUGGUAACCCCUUACAUGUAACAAUACUGUGUAUACAAGUGAGAAGUGUAACACCCACCCAUCUCUCACCUGCCGAGUAAAUUAUACCAGUCAGUGAUUUGGGGACGGGGUGACCCUUGACUGUAUUUCAAAUUAUAACACAAUAACUACUCUGAGAGGUCAGUUUAUAAUAACUUUAGAAGAGGAAUGGUUAGCAUUAAAAACAAAAAGCAAGCUGCCUCUUCCCAUCUUCGAUGUUCUGAAAGAUUAAGGACUCUUUAGUAAUGAAGCUCGGAGAUUGUUGCUUGUUUUGAACAUCCACAAAAGCUCCUGCAAUGACCUCAGGAAGGAAAUGUGUCAGAUUUAAAGCUAGUUGACUUUGAUUGCAUAUUAUCUUUGAUGUGUCGCUUCUGUUGUUUUUUUUAAAUCGAGUUAAGAACUUUCCUUAACCAAUUUCUUCCUGUUUCCAGAUCAAGCUAUUGACUUUUGUGUUUUUUUAAAGCCACUUGCUGAUAUGGUAUGUUAAAGAUAUUACAGUAUUUUGGAUUGUCUAUAGAAAUUCAGAAAUAAAGUCU